ACCANCCGCGGUAAUUCCAGCUCCAAUAGCGUAUAUUAAAGUUGUUGCCGUUAAAAGGCUCGUAGUUGAACCUUGGGCCUGGCUGACCUGUCCUCCUAAUCGAGCGCACGGGUUCGGUCGGGCCUUUCCUUCUGGGGAUCCCGAUGCCCUUCACUGGGCGUCGUGGGGAACCAGGACUUUUACCUUGAAAAAAUUAGAGUGUUCAAAGCAGGCCUUUGCUCGAAUACAUUAGCAUGGAAUAAUAGAAUAGGACAGAGGUUCUAUUUUGUUGGUUUCUAGGACCGCUGUAAUGAUUAAUAGGGAUAGUCGGGGGCGUCCGUAUUCAAUUGUCAGAGGUGAAAUUCUUGGAUUUAUUGAAGACGAACUACUGCGAAAGCAUUCGCCAAGGAUGUUUUCAUUAAUCAGUGAACGAAAGUUAGGGGAUCGAAGACGAUCAGAUACCGUCGUAGUCUUAACCAUAAACUAUGCCGACUAGGGAUCGGACGGUGGUUUUUUUAUGCCCCG
rnacentral:rRNA from 1 species